ensembl:lncRNA
GACAGUCGACCCCUGGACCCGGAGUUCCUGCUGAUGGACAAUAACCCUAGYGGCUCAGCUCUAGCAGGACCCAGUGCUUUCCAGAUCCCCUAUCUCAUCAGGCAGAAGAUCUGCAGCAGCCUGGAUACACCUUGUCCCAACGGGGCCGAUUGGAGACUGUUGGCCCAGAGACUCAAACUGGACAGGUAACUAACCCUAACCCUAACCUUGUCCCAACGGGGCCGAUUGGAGACUGUUGGCCCAGAGACUCAAACUGGACAGGCAUAUGAGUUUCUUUGCGUCCAAGGCGAGUCCCACCAGUGUGAUUCUGGAUCUGUGGGAGGCCCAACACUUCCACAGUGGAAACCUGAACCAGCUGGCCACCGUCAUGGCCGACAUUGGCAAACAGGAAGCUAUGAUUUUCCUGGUCUCAGACGGAGAGUGCUAGCCUUAGCUCUGUCCCACACUGUCCCAACACUGCACCCUAUUCCCUAGAUAGUGCACCAAUGUAGGGGACUACCUAGGUAAUAGAGUGCUAUUUGAGAUCAGCCCCCUAAAAAAGGAGAGGACUGGAACAGGGUAGAAUAUACAGACACAUGAGAGGAGAGGAGAACACUCCCCCUCUCUCGCCCCUCCUUUACCAGAGAGAAGAGAAGAACGGAACACUUCUAAUUCUGUCUCCCCCCUCAUUUAAGCAGAGGAAGAAAGAACGGAAAGACCCCCCUCGCGUCGCACCGCCUUUAACCAGAGAAAGAGAAGAGGAACACUCCCCCCUCUAUCCCCUCCUUUUACCAGAGAGAAGAGAAGAACGAAACACUCUCCACCCCUCGCGCCCCCUCCUUUACCAGAGAGAAGAGAAGAAGGGAACACUCCCCCCCCCUCUCUCCCCUCCUUUCACCCAAGAGAAGAAAAACGGAAAUCACCCACCCCCAUCUCCCCCCCUCCAUCUACCCUCCUUUACACCAGAGAGAAGAGAAGAACGGAACACUCCCCCCCUCCUUCCCUCCCUCCUUUACCAGAGAGAAGAGAUGAAGGAACAACUCCCCCCCCUCUCUCCCCUUCCUUUACCAGAGAAGAAGAGAAGAACGGAAAACUCCCCCCCCCCCCCCCUCUCUCCCCUCCUUUACCAGAGAGAAGAGAAGAAUGGAACACUCCCCCUCUCUCCCCUCCUUUACCAGAGAGAAGAGAAGAACACUCCCCCUCUCUCCCCUCUCCUCUAUGAGACAAGAGGAGCUAAACAGAAGCAGGAUUUGGGAACAGGGUUCAUGUAUGUUAUGUUAGAUCUACCCCAUGUCUCCAUUCAGAUCCCGGAUGUCUGGGGAAAGCAGGACCUGGGAGGGAGCUGGUCCUGUGAAGUUGUUUCUGGGUGAUGUGCUUUUGUCAAAGUAAGGCGGGGAUUCAAUCCGUAUGGCGAUGUCGACAAUGCAUCUGUUAAAGGCAAUGUUCCCACAUUUGCGGCAAUUACAUUCAAGGUAAAGGGUGCAUAUGUCGGCUCAAUUGGACAUUGCCUUUAAAAAGGUGCAUUGUCGGCAAAGCAUGAUCUGAUUGACUCCUGGAGAGGAUAUCUGGUACACGGUAUGGUAUAUAACUAUGUCAGACAGGAGUGGAAAGAGCUCUUUAUGUUGUUUAAGUCAAGUUCAGUAGCCAUCAAGGUUUAAAGUAUAGCCUUAUAUCCAAGAGACUUAGGAUGAGAUGACCGACAAGCAUUUACCAACACAUGGGCCAAAUUUGGCCACAAAAUAGCAAUAUGCAAAAUAAUCACAUUAUCCAUGGCCAUCGUGAAAAGACAACGUCACAAUGUCAAGAUGGAUUAUUUCUGUUUAUGUUUAGUCAGAGACAAACAAGAUAGUGUUCAAUAUCUCAUCUAACCUCCCAGAGAAAUCUCUCUUACCAAUGUGUGGUCAAGCUGCAGAGUAGAUUUAUUUCUGCAAGUGGAAAAAACACACGGUUAUCACUCUAGGGUCUAUGACAUCCACUCACUGUCCAUCCAUUAACCCUGUGGUGUAAUCUGAUCUGUUUAUCCAUCUGUCAUCACCUAUGGUUUUAAAAAGGAAAUGAGCUGGACUUUUAGGCAGGCCAUAGAUUUUACGUCAUGAUUCUAAAGAACACAUCUCACGAUUCUAAAGAACACAUCUCACGAUUCUAAAGAACACAUCUCACGAUUCUAAAGAACACAUCUCACGAUUCUA